UAGUGAAGAAUAGCCCAGAGAAAUUUGGAUUAAUGCUUCAUAACAUUUUAAAACCGCAUGGUUUUAAUCUUAAAGCUCCGGCGGUAUAAGAUGAGUAUGCGUGAUAUUAGUUAGUUGGUGAGGUAACGGCUCACCAAGACUACCAUAUCUAGGGGGUCUGAGAGGACUAUCCCCCACACUGGUACUGAGACACGGACCAGACUCCUACGGGAGGCAGCAGUGAGGAAUAUUGGGCAAUGGAGGCAACUCUGACCAGCCAUGCCGCGUGAAGGAAGAAGGUCUUAUGGAUUGUAAACUUCUUUUAUUUGGGAAGAAACCUAUCUACGUGUAGAUAGCUGACGGUACCAAACGAAUAAGGACCGGCUAACUCCGUGCCAGCCGCCGCGGUAAUACGGAGGGUCCAAGCGUUAUCCGGAAUCAUUGGGUUUAAAGGGUGCGCAGGCGGUUUAUUAAGUCAGUGGUGAAAUCCCCGGGGCUCACUCCCAAACGCCAUUGAUACUGAUAAACUUGAGUUCGUUGGAGUAGGCGGAAUGUGUACUGUAGCGUGAAAUGCUAGAUAUUACCAGAACACCGAUAGCGAAGGCAGCUUACAAACUGAUACGACGCUGAGGCACCAAAGCCUGGGGAGCCAACAGGAUUAGAUACCCUGGUAGUCCCCCGCCGUAAACUAUGAUUACUCCAUAUUGGCGAUAUACCGUCCCGUGUCCAAGCCAAACUGAUAAGUAAUCCCCCCGGGGAGUACCGUCCCCAGAUUGAAACUCAAAGGAAUUGACCGGGGCCCCCCCCCAAGCGGUGGACCUGUCGGUUUAAUUCCCAUGAUCCCCCCCAGGAAACCUUAACCAGGGGCUUAAAUGUAGAACUGAACAGACUUGGAAACCAAGCUCCUCCCUCUCGGCCCUU
rnacentral:rRNA from 1 species